CUCCUGCUGCUGUGCCCAGGGGGGACCCCCUUCCGGAUCUGCACCUUCCACCUGCAACGCUUUGCAGGCCCCAAAGCCGCUAAGCCCCCCAUCAUGGCCACGCUGGUCAAGGACUGUGAGCCCUGAGUCCUAUUCAGCUCUGAGCAGCCCACCACUGGACAUUGGGCGCUAUCGGGAGCACUACGUCUUUGUGUACCAGUGAGAGCCACACGGUUAUUGGUCCAGCCGCACCCAGGUCCUUGACGCCUACAUGUACCCAGACGAGAGCCCCGCCAGACCGGACACCUUCAGCCGUGACCCUUUCCUUGCACGCUUCAGCCUGCCUAGCAAGGGAUGUCAUGUUCCUGGGAGACUUCAAUGCUGACUGUGGCUACGUGGCGAAGAAGGGCUGGGGCCAAAUCCGGCUACGGGGGGCCCGC